UGACAGCCUCAGAUCUAGCGAUGG
rnacentral:piRNA from 1 species